rnacentral:lncRNA from 10 species
GAGACCUGCAGCCGCUGUCGGAGCCCGGGAUGAAGAAAUACAACUUUUAUAAUCAAUCACUUGUUUUUAAGGAUAACACUUAAAGGAAUUACAAAAUUUCUUGCCAGACAUGGUGGUUCACGCCUGUCAUCCCAGCACGUUGGCUGGCUGAUCAUCUGAGGUCACUUGGUUUAAUGAAUAGAAUCAGAAUUGCUGGUGGUUGACUUCCAAGACUAGGUCACAAAAGACACUGUGGGUUUCUCCUUGCUCUCUUGAAUUGCUCACUAUAGGAAGCCCAUUGUCAUGUCCUGAGGAAGCCCUAUGAAAAUGUCCCUUUGUGGCUGGACACAAAUCUCAGCACUUGGAGAGUCAGGCAGGAGGACUGCUUGAGCCCAGGAAUUGGAGACCAGCCUGGGCAACAGUGAGACCCCAUCUCUACAAACAAAUAAAAAUAAAUUAGCCGGGCAUGGGGGCAUGUAUCUUUAGUCCCAGCUACUUGGUAGGCUGAGGUAGGAGGAUUACUUGAGCCCAGGAAUUUGAGGCUGCAGUGAACUAUGAUCACGCCACUGUACUCCAGCCUAAAUGACAAAGUGAGACCCUGUCUCCAAAAAAGAAGUAAAUAAAAUUGAAAAAAAAGAAAAAAGAAAGUCCCUUUGUUGAGGAACUGAGCUUCUACCAAGAGCCAGAGAGGAACUGAGGCUUCUUGUCAAGUCAUCUGAGUGAGCCAUGGUGGAAGUGGACCUUCCUGCCUCAGCUAAGCCACCCCCAAAUUCCUAACCCAUAGAAACUGUGAAGCAGGCCGG